rnacentral:rRNA from 1 species
ACGAACGCUGGCGGCGUGCCUAAUACAUGCAAGUAGAACGCUGAAGAGAGGAGCUUGCUCUUCUUGGAUGAGUUGCGAACGGGUGAGUAACGCGUAGGUAACCUGCCUUGUAGCGGGGGAUAACUAUUGGAAACGAUAGCUAAUACCGCAUAACAAUGGAUGACACAUGUCAUUUAUUUGAAAGGGGCAAUUGUUCCACUACAAGAUGGACCUGCGUUGUAUUAGCUAGUAGGUGAGGUAAUGGCUCACCUAGGCGACGAUACAUAGCCGACCUGAGAGGGUGAUCGGCCACACUGGGACUGAGACACGGCCCAGACUCCUACGGGAGGCAGCAGUAGGGAAUCUUCGGCAAUGGGGGCAACCCUGACCGAGCAACGCCGCGUGAGUGAAGAAGGUUUUCGGAUCGUAAAGCUCUGUUGUAAGUCAAGAACGGGUGUGAGAGUGGAAAGUUCACACUGUGACGGUAGCUUACCAGAAAGGGACGGCUAACUACGUGCCAGCAGCCGCGGUAAUACGUAGGUCCCGAGCGUUGUCCGGAUUUAUUGGGCGUAAAGCGAGCGCAGGCGGUUUGAUAAGUCUGAAGUUAAAGGCUGUGGCUCAACCAUAGUUCGCUUUGGAAACUGUCAAACUUGAGUGCAGAAGGGGAGAGUGGAAUUCCAUGUGUAGCGGUGAAAUGCGUAGAUAUAUGGAGGAACACCGGUGGCGAAAGCGGCUCUCUGGUCUGUAACUGACGCUGACGCUCCAAAGCGUGGGGAGCGAACAGGAUUAGAUACCCUGGUAGUCCACGCCGUAAACGAUGAGUGCUAGGUGUUGGAUCCUUUCCGGGAUUCAGUGCCGCAGCUAACGCAUUAAGCACUCCGCCUGGGGAGUACGACCGCAAGGUUGAAACUCAAAGGAAUUGACGGGGGCCCGCACAAGCAGCGGAGCAUGUGGUUUAAUUCGAAGCAACGCGAAGAACCUUACCAGGUCUUGACAUCCCGAUGCUAUUUCUAGAGAUAGAAAGUUACUUCGGUACAUCGGUGACAGGUGGUGCAUGGUUGUCGUCAGCUCGUGUCGUGAGAUGUUGGGUUAAGUCCCGCAACGAGCGCAACCCUUAUUGUUAGUUGCCAUCAUUUAGUUGGGCACUCUAGCGAGACUGCCGGUAAUAAACCGGAGGAAGGUGGGGAUGACGUCAAAUCAUCAUGCCCCUUAUGACCUGGGCUACACACGUGCUACAAUGGUUGGUACAACGAGUUGCGAGUCGGUGACGGCGAGCUAAUCUCUUAAAGCCAAUCUCAGUUCGGAUUGUAGGCUGCAACUCGCCUACAUGAAGUCGGAAUCGCUAGUAAUCGCGGAUCAGCACGCCGCGGUGAAUACGUUCCCGGGCCUUGUACACACCGCCCGUCACACCACGAGAGUUUGUAACACCCGAAGUCGGUGAGGUAACCUUUUGGAGCCAGCCGCCUAAGGUGGGACAGAUGAUUGGGGUG